CGCACCCGCACCCGCACCCGGCGGCCAGAGCGCGUGGGGCAGCGCCUCGCCCUGACAGCCGCUCGCCUCCUCGCGGUCUCCGCGGCAGCUCGGCCGGCCGCCCAGCGGCCUCCCCCCACCCGGCGGUCCCCUCCCAGCCCGAGCCCUCCCGCUGCUCCUCCUCCUCCGCCUCCUCCCCUCGCGCGCCGCUGACAGGCAGCCUCGGCGGGCAGAGCGCAGGUACUUUGCCUUCAGAAUAAUUUGCACGACCCAAGCAAGCUGUCGGAGCGCCCUUGUUUUCUUCGGUCGUUGCCCCCUCCCUCCGGAAAAGAAGGUCCCACUUUUGAAACAAGCAGCACUCGAAGCACCCUACCCAAGCCAAAGCCCGACGGGCUGCUGUGCAUGUGCUGUCCUUCCUUGCAGUUCAUUCUGGGCCUGUGUGGAAUGGAAAGACAAUUCUUUAUUUGACUGGGAGGAGAGAAAAGAGAAGACUCCUCAGGGUUUCCAAGGAGGACUGGAGCGGCUGCUUUAGUGAAGAAAUGGAGAAUCAAAGAAGUAAAGGACCUGUCUCAAAGUGACACUGCUAGGAAAUCCCGAGGGGUUUGACACUUUUCAUCCUCCAGCCAUUAAUCAUUUUGUAGAGAAAGGCUAUAUAUUGGUGGGAAUAAAAACAAGCAGUUCCUGGCCGGUGAUACUCCAGUUAAGGGUGUCUGACUGACAGCAUGUUGGCACCAGCAUUGAAGGAAGUGAUGGGCUUUCGCUCCAGGUUCCUGUCCUGAGACCACAGCAGGAUGUGCCUUGGACAAAGGCUUGAAUUCCUGGGAUCAUCUGGUGACUUCAAGAAUCUGGU